rnacentral:lncRNA from 1 species
UGGCUGUGAUUGAGAGUGACCCACCUGCAUGUGUUCUGCUGGUGUCUGGUGGUCCAGGGUGGGUAGCAGAGCCUCAGUUUUAUCAGCAGCAGAGAUGGAAGAUUUCAACACUUAGUAUAUUAAGGUGUCUGCCAAGAAUUAGAGCAGUUGGCUUCCUGUGUCUCCUCUGAAGGAGUAGUGCUGGUCAGAAGCCCUGCAAGAUGAGAACGUUUGCCCCUGGGACCCUUCUCUGCUGUUAAGUCAAGGGUUGUCUUCUAGACCCUCUGGGUCACACCUCUCCUAACAUGAGGAUCAGCCGAAUUACAGGCUCAAUUUCAGGCAGAGCUGAGCUUGCAUCUGAUGACAGCAAAGACCUCCAUGUGUCUUUCAUUAUCCUGUUGCCCUGGGAGAUGCUGUUUAAGUUGGCAAAUGUCCUUACUGAAAGCAAAGCUUGUCACUGGUGAGAUUACUAAUCCCCCUUCCCCUAGCCCCCCCCCCCACACUCCCACCCCAAAGGAUCAAAUGCCAAGGAAAGGAGGGAACUGUAUAGCUUUGAAAAGUGUGGCGAAGCCAUCAAGUUCACCAGGAAUAGUAGGGGUAAGAUGUGGUUUCAGUUUGUUUACUAGGUUCAAGAUGACAAUAUCUCAAUAACAAACUUCAGAGGGGUGUGUAUACAUGUGUGUGUGUGUGGGGGGGGGUGUGGUGUUGUGUGGUGUGUGUGUGCGUGUGUGUAUGUGUGUGCUUUCCUGCUGGCAUUCAGGUGUGUGUGUGUAUGUGUGUGUGUGGUGUGCUGUGGUGUGUGUGUGCGUGUGUGUAUGUGUGUGUGCUUUCCUGCUUGCAUUCAGGUGUGUGUGUGUGAUGUGUGUGCCUGUGUGUAUGUGUGUGCUUUCCUGCUUGUAUUCAGAUGUGUGUGUAUGUGUGUGUGCUGCCUGCUUGCAUACAGAUUUUUGCAUGUGUGUGGCAUGUGCUGCCUGAAUUUCAAACUCCUAGAAAUCAUUUAGAAGCUCUAGCUUGUUUUGGUCUUCAGUUCCAGACUUAUUGAUAGUAAAUUUCAAGAAACUUAACAAAAAAAUCAGACUGAGCUUUGUGAUUUCUAGGUCAGAGGUACCCAGUCUUUCUUUGCAGAGAAGAACCAUUUUAUUUUACUUUAUUUUUUAUUUUAUUUUUACUUUUUAACCUUCCUCUGUGGCCUUGGGGCCAGGCCGGUUGGAGAAAAGACUAACUCCUUCGUUCACAGAGCAGCUUCAGUAGAUACAACCUCACUGCCAUCCAGUGGCGGUUGGCUCCACAACACAGGAGCUGACGACUAGACCCACUCUUUCUCCCAAGCCUUUUUUUUUUUUGUUUGCCUCUGCUGCUCAGUUUUCUAUUUUUUUCCUCCUCCCAAUAUGGUACCUGCACUAUUUCCUGCCUCCCCAGUGGUAGGAAUCGAACCCAGAACCUGCCCGUGCUUGAUGAUCCCCGCCACCUAGAACUUCUCAGCCCCUGCAAGCAGUAUUUGAUAAGAAAAUUUGACUCGGGCUUAAGGAACUGAGAGCAAUUGAAUCUAUUUACCUUGCCCCAUAUUCCUAACAGUAGUUCUUGCUAUCUGGCUCCCUACCCUACUCCCCCAACUAGGCAUAAAGUCUGUAUUUUCUCCUUGACUGUUUCUGUUGCUUUGGCCGAAGGAUUAAUGCUCAGCGGGUGCAUCUGCUCGCCACACUUACUUUAAAGCUAGCUCCCCAUCUCCCUUUGAAUUUGUACUUUGAGCUGUGGUUGACCAAUAUCCUAGCAUGGUUCAUGACACUUUGCCUGCAUUUCAGUUAAGGGUUAUGUGUCCCAUAGGAUCUGAGCUGGCCUCAGAGAAGGAGCCAACUAGCAAAUGGAAUUAUUUUGCCUUGUGAAAAAUUCCAGCCUUUUAAAACUGGGCUCUGAGAAAUU